rnacentral:rRNA from 1 species
UACGAAGGGGGCUAGCGUUGCUCAGAAUUACUGGGCGUAAAGCGUACGUAGGCGGCUCUUUAAGUCGGGGGUGAAAUCCUGGAGCUCAACUCCAGAACUGCCUUCGAUACUGGAGAGCUUGAGUUCGGGAGAGGUGAGUGGAACUGCGAGUGUAGAGGUGAAAUUCGUAGAUAUUAGGAAGAACACCAACGGCGAAGGCAGCUCGCUGGGACGGAACUGACGCUAAGGCGCGAAAGCGUGGGGAGCGAACAGG